rnacentral:lncRNA from 1 species
CCAGGUGUUAUUUUGACUUGUUUACAGACUCUAACACCCCAGGACCCGGGGCAUCUCUGUCCUCUUGCCUGUUGUUUAUGAUGGCCACACAGACUAUUCCUAAGACUCCCUGCUAUUUUCACAGACCCUCUUUGGUGUAUUCUCUAUUUUGUAGGGUCACCUCCCUGGUUGGGCCAUUUGGGGAAUUGUCUAGGUAUCCUCAUGAUUAGUCUUUUGAGUCAAGGUAUCAUAAUUGUGAUGAUAAGUCUUCUGGGAAAAUCAAGUGGAGUUUCUUCCCUUUGCCUAAAUAGAAAUGUAUCAAGCAUCUAUUAUGUACAUGGUUCACUUCCAGAAUGAUGGAGAAAUAGAUGGAGAAACAGAGAAACACCUCCUUAUUCACUUCCAUGCCUCAGGGUGGUGCUGACAGUGUGAGUGAGGGAAGACUUGAUGCUGUGACCUCACUGCCUGAUUCCCCAGGUGGCUUCAUUUGGAGCCCUGACCCUACCUGAGUCUUCAGAAGAGCCAUAAUACCCAGCAGCAUCAACAGGAAACAAACUCCCUGCCCACUCCUCCUGGCAUUUAAGGAUCUCCUGAGUCCAGACUUGCCCAGUCUUCCAGCCUCAACUCCCACCAAACCCUUACCAGGUCCGGCGCUAUCUCCUUAACACAAAUGCUUCCAUCCUCUGGACCUUUGCUGGGGCAGCUAUUCAUGAUCCUGUCCUCCCCUCCCCCUUGUGCCUCUUAAGGAUUUAUUCGGACUUCUCUAAGCAGCUUUCCCUGGCAAAUAAAAGAAGACCGCCUUGCAAUAAAUUAUUUCUCUUUCUGUGAUCCUUACUUCAUCGUUUCCCAUUUAUUCAUUGAGUGUCGGCCUGUACCCCACCCUGGGCUGGUCUCCUAGGGCUAAUCUAGCCCACCUGGCCUUUUGUCAGGAGAGAGUAGUUCACACAUGAUUGUCACCGCCUCCAGCACCAGCGCAGAAUCUCAGUGAUGUGUCUCUCACCACCGUGUUUUGCACUUUGUCGAAAAGUGUCAGAUGGCUUGUAGAAGAGUGUCAGAUGAUUUGUAGACUGGGCUCUUCCCACUAAUUAGUCAUGUGACCUCUGGGGAAUCGCCGGGCCACUCUGGCUUCUGUUUUCUGAUGAAAUAGUGAUGAAGAUACCUCAGAGUUAUCCAGGGGACAGUGAAGCAGGAUGUAGGAAAGUGUCAUAAAAGCCCGGAACCCCGGGCCAAUGAAAGAUGCACAGUGAUUGUAUCUCCAUUCUCCUCGCCCUAGCUGCGAGACAAUGUCGCUCCCCCUUCGCUCUCCCCGAAUGUCAAGUGCACCAGCUUCCAAACCUUCCUCUGGGCGGCUCCCCCACGGAUCGGAAUCUAGGCUGUGGAGGGUUCCAGUGUAAACUCAGGACACCUCUCCUCCCUGCCACCUCUUCCCAAGGACUCGCGAAACACACCUUGAACCCCUUGCCGGAGCGCAAUUCAGAGCGCCGCCCGGAACUGCAGCUCCACUGCGUGGGCCAAGGCCGGGGGUCGCGCAUUUCUGGUCGGUGACUCAGGGCCUCUUGGUCCGGGGGUGGGGUGGGUAGGCGGGACCCACUAGGGCCGCGCGGGGGCAGCGCCGGGCGAUCGGUCGGCGAGCGGUGGGAGACGAAGCUGGCUCCAACCCCGUCGCCAUUCCGCCGCGAGCGUCUGUCUCGCCAGGUCCCCGAGUGCAGGAGGAAGGCCCGUGCUACUUUCCAUUCCGGGCGCUCCUUUACGGGCGCGCAGCGGCCCGGGCCGCCAGCAGCAGCUGGAGCGCGGAUGGGGCUCUGCGCGCGAAUGAAUGGGCGCCCGGGGGAAGCGCGGGCUGAAGGGCAUUAGGACCGUGAGGAUCGCUCCGCGCUCCUGUCUCUCCCUAUCACAACCCCCCCCCCCCACCUCUCUCCUUUUUCUGCUUUGCAGGACUGAGCAGCCAGGCGCAAGCGAAAACAAACAGCUGGGGCUGGUAGCGCCCCCGCCCCGGCCUCGAGAGCACGCCGGACCCGGCUCCCACCCUGGGCGCCCGGCCGCCCACCAUGAGGAAGAUCCGCGCCAAUGCCAUCGCCAUCCUGACCGUAGCCUGGAUCCUGGGCACUUUCUACUACUUAUGGCAGGACAACCGAGCCCACGCAGCCUCCGGCGGCCGGGGCGCGCAGAAGACCGGCGGGAGGCCAGAGCAGCUGCGCGAGGACCGCACCAUCCCGCUCAUUGUGAGUACGCCCGGCGAGCCGGG